rnacentral:rRNA from 1 species
GACGAACGCUGGCGGCAUGCUUAACACAUGCAAGUCAAGGGGUCGCAAGACCACUGGCGCACGGGUGAGUAACACGUAGGUGAUCUGCCCCCAUCACAGACAUAACCCCGGGAAACCGGGGCUAAUAUCUGAUGAGGCCGAGAGGUCAAAGCUUUAUGCGGGAAUGGGGAUNAGCCUGCGGCUGAUUAGCUAGUUGGUGAGGUAAUGGCUCACCAAGGCGACGAUCAGUAGCUGGUCUGAGAGGACGAACAGCCACAC